GUGGGGAAUCUUCCGCAAUGGACGAAAGUCUGACGGAGCAACGCCGCGUGAGUGAUGAAGGUCUUCGGAUUGUAAAGCUCUGUUAAUCGGGACGAAAGAGCCUAGUGUGAAUAAUGCUAGGAAGUGACGGUACCGGAAUAGAAAGCCACGGCUAACUACGUGCCAGCAGCCGCGGUAAUACGUAGGUGGCAAGCGUUGUCCGGAAUUAUUGGGCGUAAAGCGCGCGCAGGCGGAUCUGCAAGUCUGUCGUAAAAGUUCGGAGCUUAACCCGUUGAUGUGAUGGAAACUACAGAUCUAGAGUAUCGGAGAGGAAAGUGGAAUUCCUAGUGUAGCGGUGAAAUGCGUAGAUAUUAGGAAGAACACCAGUGGCGAAGGCGACUUUCUGGACGAAAACUGACUCUGAGGCGCGAAAGCCAGGGGAGCGAACGGGAUUAGAAACCCCGGUAGUCC
rnacentral:rRNA from 1 species